rnacentral:rRNA from 1 species
UACGUAGGGUGCGAGCGUUGUCCGGAAUUAUUGGGCGUAAAGGGCUCGUAGGCGGUUUGUCGCGUCGGGAGUGAAAUCCACUGGCUUAACUGGUGGCUUGCUUUCGAUACGGGCAGACUGGAGGUAUGCAGGGGAGAACGGAAUUCCUGGUGUAGCGGUGAAAUGCGCAGAUAUCGGGAGGAACACCAGUGGCGAAGGCGGCUACCUGGCCCACUCUUGACGCUGAGGCGCGAAAGCUAGGGGAGCAAACGGG